CAAGUUUGUAUUUGUCUGGCUCAGAGGAUGGCUCAACUUGUCUACAUCCUUGCAUAUGCAUGCACAUCUUCUACUCAAUUUUAAGUGACAGGUCAGCCUGCCCUGAGCAGCAGGACCUUGCUUCAGGAUCCCCAAAAGUUACACCUUCACAACUUCAAUGCUCCCAUAGAUUUACAAGGCUGUUUCUGUGUCUACUCCAAGUUUUCUCAGUCAUAAGAGAUCUACCUGGAUAGCUGUCCCUGUGUGAGCUUUUCAAAUUGCCAAUGAAGUGGCAGGUCUUCCAGUUCUUCAGAGAUGCCCAACUAGGUGUGCCCCAUCUGAGAAAAGGAAAACUUCCUGCACAGUCUUCUAAAACACACAAAAAAAAUCAUCAUAUAUGGAACAGACUUUCGAAAUCCUGCUAGCUGAUGAAAAACUUGCAUGUAUUUCCUGAAAUGUGUGUGGCUGUGAAGGUACAACUGACAACAAUAACUUAAUGGUAUAAGAAGUAAAAGACAAACCUGG